rnacentral:tRNA from 1 species
GGACAGGUGCCCGAGAGGCUGAAGGGAACGGUUUGCUAAACCGUCAUACUGCAAUUAGCGGUAUCGCGGGUUCGAAUCCCGCCCUGUCCG